rnacentral:rRNA from 1 species
CCGCCAGCUAAGGUCCCAAAGUCAUGGUUAAGUGGGAAACGAUGUGGGAAGGCCCAGACAGCCAGGAUGUUGGCUUAGAAGCAGCCAUCAUUUAAAGAAAGCGUAAUAGCUCACUGGUCGAGUCGGCCUGCGCGGAAGAUGUAACGGGGCUAAACCAUGCACCGAAGCUGCGGCAGCGACGCUUAUGCGUUGUUGGGUAGGGGAGCGUUCUGUAAGCCUGUGAAGGUGUGCUGUGAGGUAUGCUGGAGGUAUCAGAAGUGCGAAUGCUGACAUAAGUAACGAUAAAGCGGGUGAAAAGCCCGCUCGCCGGAAGACCAAGGGUUCCUGUCCAACGUUAAUCGGGGCAGGGUGAGUCGACCCCUAAGGCGAGGCCGAAAGGCGUAGUCGAUGGGAAACAGGUUAAUAUUCCUGUACUUGGUGUUACUGCGAAGGGGGGACGGAGAAGGCUAUGUUGGCCGGGCGACGGUUGUCCCGGUUUAAGCGUGUAGGCUGGUUUUCCAGGCAAAUCCGGAAAAUCAAGGCCGAGGCGUGAUGACGAGGCACUACGGUGCUGAAGCAACAAAUGCCCUGCUUCCAGGAAAAGCCUCUAAGCAUCAGGUAACAUCAAAUCGUACCCCAAACCGACACAGGUGGUCAGGUAGAGAAUACCAAGGCGCUUGAGAGAACUCGGGUGAAGGAACUAGGCAAAAUGGUGCCGUAACUUCGGGAGAAGGCACGCUGAUACGUAGGUGAAGCGACUUGCUCGUGGAGCUGAAAUCAGUCGAAGAUACCAGCUGGCUGCAACUGUUUAUUAAAAACACAGCACUGUGCAAACACGAAAGUGGACGUAUACGGUGUGACGCCUGCCCGGUGCCGGAAGGUUAAUUGAUGGGGUUAGCGCAAGCGAAGCUCUUGAUCGAAGCCCCGGUAAACGGCGGCCGUAACUAUAACGGUCCUAAGGUAGCGAAAUUCCUUGUCGGGUAAGUUCCGACCUGCACGAAUGGCGUAAUGAUGGCCAGGCUGUCUCCACCCGAGACUCAGUGAAAUUGAACUCGCUGUGAAGAUGCAGUGUACCCGCGGCAAGACGGAAAGACCCCGUGAACCUUUACUAUAGCUUGACACUGAACAUUGAGCCUUGAUGUGUAGGAUAGGUGGGAGGCUUUGAAGUGUGGACGCCAGUCUGCAUGGAGCCGACCUUGAAAUACCACCCUUUAAUGUUUGAUGUUCUAACGUGGACCCGUGAUCCGGGUUGCGGACAGUGUCUGGUGGGUAGUUUGACUGGGGCGGUCUCCUCCUAAAGAGUAACGGAGGAGCACGAAGGUUGGCUAAUCCUGGUCGGACAUCAGGAGGUUAGUGCAAUGGCAUAAGCCAGCUUGACUGCGAGCGUGACGGCGCGAGCAGGUGCGAAAGCAGGUCAUAGUGAUCCGGUGGUUCUGAAUGGAAGGGCCAUCGCUCAACGGAUAAAAGGUACUCCGGGGAUAACAGGCUGAUACCGCCCAAGAGUUCAUAUCGACGGCGGUGUUUGGCACCUCGAUGUCGGCUCAUCACAUCCUGGGGCUGAAGUAGGUCCCAAGGGUAUGGCUGUUCGCCAUUUAAAGUGGUACGCGAGCUGGGUUUAGAACGUCGUGAGACAGUUCGGUCCCUAUCUGCCGUGGGCGCUGGAGAACUGAGGGGGGCUGCUCCUAGUACGAGAGGACCGGAGUGGACGCAUCACUGGUGUUCGGGUUGUCAUGCCAAUGGCACUGCCCGGUAGCUAAAUGCGGAAGAGAUAAGUGCUGAAAGCAUCUAAGCACGAAACUUGCCCCGAGAUGAGUUCUCCCUGACCCUUUAAGGGUCCUGAAGGAACGUUGAAGACGACGACGUUGAUAGGCCGGGUGUGUAAGCGCAGCGAUGCGUUGAGCUAACCGGUACUAAUGAACCGUGAGGCUUAACCUUACAACGCCGAAG